CUAAACCAGGUCUAACCCAGGACUAGACCAGGACUAAACCAGGACUAAAGCAGGACUAAACCAGGACUAAACCAGGACUAAACCAGGUCUAAACCAGGACUAAACCAGGUCUAAACCAGGACUAAACCAAGACUAAACCAGGACUAAACCAGGUCUAAACCAGGACUAAACCAGGUCUAAACCAGGUCUAAACCAGGACUAAACCAGGACUAAACCAGGUCUAAAUCAGGACUAAACCAGGACUAAACCAGGACUAAACCAAGACUAAACCAGGACUAAACCAGGACUAAACCAGGACUAAACUAGGUCUAAACCAGGACUAAACCAGGACUAAACCAGGACUAAACCAGGACUAAACCAAGACUAAACCAGGACUAAACCAGGACUAAACCAGGACUAAACUAGGUCUAAACCAGGACUAAACCAGGACUAAACCAGGACUAAAGCAGGACUAAACCAGGUCUAAACCAGGACUAAAGCAGGACUAAACCAGGUCUAAACCAGGACUAAAACAGGACUAAAUCAGGACUAAACCAGGACUAAACCAGGUCUAAAUCAGGACUAAACCAGGACUAAACCAAGACUAAAUCAGAACUAAACCAGGACUAAACCAGGACUAAACCAAGACUAAACCAGGACUAAACCAGGUCUAAACCAGGACUAAACCAGGUCUAAACCAGGUCUAAACCAGGACUAAACCAGGACUAAACCAGGUCUAAAUCAGGACUAAACCAGGACUAAACCAGGACUAAACCAAGACUAAACCAGGACUAAACCAGGUCU
ensembl:lncRNA